GGAACCUGGUUGAUCCUGCCAGUAGUCAUACGCUUGUCUCAAAGAUUAAGCCAUGCAUGUGUAAGAUUAAAUAACUUUAUCUUGAAUCUGCGAAUGGCUCAUUAUAUCAGUUAUAGUUUAUUUGGUAAUUCUUUACUACUUGGAUAACCGUAGUAAUUCUAGAGCUAGUACAUGCAUAAAAACCCGACUUCUGG
rnacentral:rRNA from 1 species